AGAUUCCACCAACGGCCGAAAAGUUUAAAAAACAACACAGGGCUUCAAAAGACAACACUGCACAGGGUGUAUGCCCAAUAAGUGUGAAGUAUAAUGUAAAAUAAUUUUAAUAAAAUAAUUAUUCGCUUAUUGACUUUGAUAAGCGGCCAGUGGUUCAUGUGGCUUACCGGUAAGGUCGUUGUCCCGCCUCGGACUGUUUCGGUCCGUGCGCCCGUUGAAAGUCACAGCUACACAGGUAGUGAAACGUUGUUGUGCUUGUCAUAGCGGCUGUUGGCAUUUCUGCCUGAGUCUAGAGAGAUCUGACGCCGUUUCUCCGCUAGUAGUUGACAUUUUGCGCCGACACUUUGGCCUCCCUCAGGUCCCCCUCAUCCCACCUCCCUUGCAAUAGACCACAGCAGCAGUUAAAUUAAGGCCCAAGAGGCAGACAUCCUGCAGCAGACUGAAAAGGCAGAAAACCAGUUGCAUGAAUGAAAUGAGAACAUGAAGACUGCUCCCUAAAAAAAAAUUGAAAGUUCUCAGCUGACCGUGUGUCAGGCAAUGACAGAAAUGUCAAGAUGAGGGUGAGGCAGAGGACAAGGACGCAGGAAAGGUGGUCCUGCCUGCAUCUACAGUCUGAUCAUCAGUCUUCAGCCCUAUCUGUGCUGCCAGUGUGGACAUUGAUGCAAAGACUUCAGGCUCAGAAGAUGACAGACUGUCUAUCCAGCCAUCACACCAAGAGCUGAAGGGGUGAAAGCAGAGGCCACUUGUGGACCAGCCUAUAAAGACAUCGCAUUGGGAAGAAGUUGGAGCAUCUGCAGAGAACCCACCCAGGUCCAGAGAGAACAUGAACUCCACACAGACAGAACCAGCAGGUUGGUGCUGUUGGCUGGUUGGUGCUGUUAGCUGACUGUGCUAAUCGCUGCAUCUGUGUCCAUUUUUUUUCUUAUAGGACGAAGAAACAGUGAGAGGAACCCCAGGAUGAUCAAAAAUGGAAGAAUUAUGCCAAGAUGAGACGACAAAAAGCCCCAAACAGAAAAAGAAGAGUCAGACCAAAGAAAAGAAAGAAGAACGGCUUUGACUAAUUCCAAAGGUAACCUUUCUGAAUUGCAACGUCUCCAUAGACACUGUUAAAGCUGUGAAAAGAGAUAAGAGAUAAAGUUCUUUAUUUCUCCCCACGCCAGGGGAAAUUUACAUUGUUACAGCAGCUUAUGUAACAGUAGACGUAGUGAUAAGAAUAAAAUAAUAAUAGAACAAUAGUAAUAAUAUUUACAUUAUAUACAAGGGUGAGAGAUGAGGAUAAAGUGGCUUAACAGAAAAAAUAAAAAUAAAGUUUAAAAGUGCAAAGAUGAAAUCUAUGUUCAGACAAACUGUGUGACAUCCUGAUAUCUUGAGUUAUUACUCCAAAUAAAAAGGUGGCUUUAAACAGUCUUCUGCAUCAUUUCAUUGUCUAUUUGUUAACACUUGUAAUAAUUGUGUGUUUCACCUCAGCACAAACAGCUGGUGGAGAGGCUCUGUUACCUGUCUGUCCUGUGUCUGCUGUCCUGUUCUGCUGUUCUGCUGUCCUGAAGGAAUGUGAGAGCAUUCUUUAGCUCCACAGUGCUCCAGUAGAUAGUAGAGCCUCCUAUUUACAGAUGUAUCUCCACAGAUAGGAGCUGGAUGCAGCUGAAGCAUCUCAUAGUUAUUUGCAGGACAAAUAGGACUUUAAUACAUUGGAUUUGUAUUGCUUUGAUACAUGAAUAAGACAGGUGUGCUUACGAUCAGUCUGCCAAGCAACAGUGACAAGCAACAUUCAAACAUAAACACUAAGGCAUUGAAGAUUAUAAAAAUAAAUUCAAGAUUGUCCCAGAAGCACUUUGUUCAGUACCAUGAUAGAACUAUGUUCUUGUUUCGUACUGGUAAAAUGUUGUUAAGGUCUUGUAUGUCACUGCCUAUUCCCGAUUCACUAUCUAUACAGUACUGCGAGAGUUUCUAUUGGUGACACCUUUCUUCAUUUUAAACCACCAGUGUCACAGGUGGAAAUUAGCACUUGUGCUAUAACCUGGCAUAAUGCAUCUCUCCCCACGGGGUUAAUGUUGUUUGUGCGCUGUCCCAUGGAUCAAAUAAAGAAAAUAAAAAAUAUUAAAAAAAAAAAAACAAAAAACUUCUGAAUAUUGAUUUACACAGCUGAACACUGGCUAACGUGUGAUUUUCAUAUUUCCUGUGUGAUUUUUUUAAUUUAUAAAUUGUACAUGUAUUAUUUAUUGUAUCAUUGCUGUACUAUUAUCACUUUUGACAUUCAUGCUGAUGCAGGAUUUGCCUGCCUCAUGUUUCAAUUUUCAGUGGUGGAAAAUGAGUAAGUACUAAAAUACUGUACCAUUUUAAGAUACCAAUACUAAGUGGUGGAAUGUAAUUCGGUAUAUAUAUUCAAAUACUAAGUAUACACUUGAUAUACUUUAUUUGACUGUUUUGUUCAACUUUAGAUUUCUCAUCUCACAGGCAAAUAUUGGCCUGUGAGAGGGACGUCGUUCCAUACGUCCCUCCUGAUGCCAAUGCUUUCCAGUUCUUCCUGGGGGAUCCUGAGGCAUUCACAGGCCAGACAAGAUAUAUAAUGCCUCCUGUUUUGAGUCUACUCCGUGGUCUCCUCCAAGACGGACGUGCUUGGAAAACUUCCAAAGGAAGUCUCCCAGAAGGCACCCAAAUCAGAAGUCCAAAUCACCUCAAAUGGCUCCUUUCGACAAAAAGGAGAAGUGACUCUACUCCAAGCUUCCUCUGGAUGUCCAAGCUUUUCACCCUGUCUCUAAGACUGAGCCCCACAGAGUAAACUUGUUUCGACCGCUCAUGCUUGCAGUCUCAUUCUUUCGGUCACUACCCAGAGGUCAUGACCAGUAGUGAGUGUUGGAAUGUAGAUGGACUGGUAAAUUGCUUGGUGAAGCAACUCCCCUACAAACCUGCAAGGAGCAUUCCACUGGUUUCCAGCAGAGAACCAUGGCCUCGGACUGGGAGGUGCUGACUCGCUACCCAGUCGCUUUACACUCUACUGCAAACUGCUCCAGUGCAUGCUAAUAGUCAUGGUCUGAUGAAGCCAACAGUACCACGUCAUCUGCAAAAUGCAGAAAUGUGAUUAUGAGGUCCCCAAAUCAGACACUCUCCUCCAGGCCUGGAGUGGCUAAUCGGGAGGACCGGGACAAUUCCCGGUGGGCUGGUCUGAUGUUUGGGCCAUGAGGGCAGGUGUUCACUCAUGGCACUGGGUUGAUCAUUAUGUCCCAGGGCCUCCUCUGCCUCCACUGGCAACUCUUCUCUUUUUUUUUCUGCUUUUUCUUUUUUUUGCAGACGCACCCCGACGUAACACGUUCGUGCACACGGUCAGUGGUGUUUGAAAGAUGGAAAUAGAAAGAGCAAGGGUGGCACAGAGACGGCAAGAAUUAAAAAGAGGAAAGCUCUGGAAACUGACACAGCCAGAUGUGCUGACAUUAGAAACUUUGUCACUAAAACAAGCUCGUGGUUUGAAACGAGGACGAUGAAACGGUUACAGCAAGAUGUAGAACUUUGCAAACCGUUAAUUAUCAAGUCAGUGAAUUGUGUGGCAUUGUGGCAUCUAACAUAACGUUAUUUAAUUUAAAGAAUAGUAUGAUGCUGGGAAACUUUGUCUUAUGAACACUUAUUUGCUUGAUAUUUGAUAAUGUGAUGUAAAGAAUAGUGUUGGAGAUUUGCCCUUUAACUCAUGUUCUCAUAUUUGUGAAAUGUAAGUUGUCAUGGAAGUGUUUCCUUGCAGAGGAAAAAGAGAUUAUAGUGUUGUUAGAAAGUGCAACACUUUUUAUUUUAUUUUUUUAAUUUAAUAUUUUGAUUUAUUUUUUAAUUUCAUUUUUAAGGUUUGGAUAUCUGUGAACAAUUAUUUGAACAGAUUAUAGAUUCUGAUAUUGUUGUAAAGAAUAAUGUUGGAGAUGUGCACUCAUGUUGAAAUAAAUCCACAUUGUGAAGCAACCCUCACUUACACUGAAUUGGAAAUAUUUGAGAAAAAUACACUGAAUUACAAGGCUUUACAGAACAGAGUGCUAUUCAAUUCAAUUCAAUUCAAUUUUAUUUAUAUAGCGCCAAUUACAGUCAAAUUGUCUCGAGACGCUUUACAGAACCCAUAUGCCUGACCCCCAGAGCAAGCCAAAAGGCGACAGUGGCAAGGAAAACACCCUUUUAACAGGGAAAAAAACCUCGAGCAGAACCCGGCUCUAAUGUGGGGGGACCCAUCUGCUGCUGGCCGGGAGGGUUGAGAGGGACAGAAGAAGUAGAGAGGUAGAGAUAGAGGGGUAGAGGUAGAGAUAGAGGGAUACAGAUAGAGGGGUAGAGAUGGAGAGGUGGGGGGUGGGACACAAGGACCAUAAAACACAGCCACAUAUCUGAAGCAUCCAGCAUCCAGCUCUGGGACCAGGGACACUCGGAGAAAGGACACAGAAAGAAACAGAGUGAAUGUAAUGCAAUAAUGGUAUAUAUAGUAAAUACAUAGGUAGUUAGAGAAGGGCUCAGUGCAUCAAGAGAGGUUCCCCAGCAGCCUAGGCCUAUAGCAGCAUAACUAGGGGCAAACUAAAGGGACGUCAAGAGGGGAAGUCAGUUGUGCAAAUGAAAACACCAGCUCACCCCGUCAGGGUCACCCAGUCAGCCCUAACUAUAAGCUUUGUCGAAAAGGAAGGUUUUAAGCCUGGUCUUAAAAAUAAAAUUGUAUUUAAAAUCUAUUGUAGACUCAACAUGUAAGGUUAUAAUUACAUGAUUUUAAUAGUAGUAGGACCGG